GAGCGAGGCUGCGCAUCGCUUUCUCGUCUGGGGAUAUGUUCAGAAUCUUAAUUAACUUAAUUCAAGAGUAAUCUUUCUGUCUAUUUUUUAAAUUGUACAUAGUCGAAGAUUAAAAUACAAGGAAGACCGCAGCGCAAGACUGAAAUGGAUCAUUCUACUUCGGCGUACGGUUGCUGUCAUCUUUUUGGCAACGUGGAACGACUUUGAGGGGAAUACAUUUAGCACGCGAGUAAAGCUAGAUUUGACAAGUUUGGCAAUGAGAGACAGCCCGUCUAAACGCACCUCAGUUGUUCCCCGAUCUCCUCGUCGAUCGAGAACGGUAGAACGAUAUUCCAUAUUACAAGUGCAAGCGGCGGGUCCUCCGAGGAACAUCCGCUGUUGAACUGGCACGACGUGACCGCAGGAGAUGCAGAGGUGUCUCGGAUCGAUGCCGCGCAAACGCGUUGACGAACCGCGAAAGCACAACACACGCGUCUGAGAGGCAUAGCUGCGAUUGCAGGAAUGGCGCUACUAAUUGCUAUAUAGUUUCAAUUGGGUACUCAGAGUUGCUCUUCAGCGCUAAAAUUUAUCUUAAUGACUUUACAUUUCUUUAUUUUGACUUUAAUUUUAGUCAGCAAAGUUUAUGGAAUAUCUUCAGAUCUCCCAUUAGAAAGAUUGAAUAUUCAUAAAAGUGAUUUUUAGAGAGACAGAUAUUCUGAGAAUAUACUUGUGUUUUUCAAAUACGUUAUCUUAGAUAUCCUAAUAAUAUCCUUCAAGAUUAUUCCUAUAUAUAGAAUUUUUUAUGCUUGAUUUUUGACGAAGUAAUUAUUUUUCGAAUAUUCUACUGUACAAGACUUGAAUAGUUAAAAAGUUAAAUUUGGAGAAUAUAAGAAUUGAUAUAAUAUUAUUAUGAAUAUUCGAAGUUAAAUUAUAGAAAAAAUUUAUAUUUUUAUAACAAUAUUAAAGUAUUAAAAAAUAUUCGCGUAGGAAAAUCAUGGUGAAAAUCAAUUAUUAAAAUUAUGAAAUAUAUAAAAUGUUGAAAACAACUCUGAAAUCGUUGAAAAAGGAAAUAAAAAUUAUUAAAAUAUUGUUGAAUAUAUUUCAGUCAGGGAUAAGAAGUAAUGCUUACAAGUAACGAGUCACCGUUACUUUUAGUUUUCUGUAAUAACAAUUUGACAAUGACAUUAAAAUUUUUUAUAACAAUAAAAAAGUAACACCAGGUUUGGAAAAUAAUUACAAUUGACAAAUAAAACUCGUUGUCAUUAUUACAUUGAAAAAAGUAACUCGUUAGUUGACUCGUUACGUAAGGAGUAAAAAGUAAUGCAAAUGCAACGUAUUACCUUGACUUGUUACGUAACGAGUAAAGUUACAAGUUAGUAUGUUUCAAUGAAUAAUGGUAACGAGUUGAUUGAAAGCAACUAUUCUAAUCCUGGCUUUAACAUUACUAUUAUGAAAAAUUGUAACGUUAUUAUUAAAUUAUAAAAAAGUUUUAUAAAAGGUAAUAGUAAUGAAUAAUGGCAUUACUUUUUGUAACUCGUUACUUCCCAUCUCUGAAUUUUAGUAUAUAUAAAUUAUACUUAUAAGCUAAUGAAAUACUAUGAAAAAUAAAAAUAGUUAUUAAAAAUGAUGGAAAAGUAAUGUAAACAUAUAGUAUUUUACAGAUUUAUUAAUAAAAGUUUAACCUGGAAA